rnacentral:lncRNA from 1 species
ACUUUCGUUUUUUAGCAGCAAAGUUUGUUGAUGUACUUUACAACUUAUCUUUUCUGCUUCUACUCAGGACAGUCAAGACAGUGCUCAGCUAGAUGUUCACAUAACUGUAGACAUAAAUGUGAAUCUAUUUAACGCAGUAAUUAAUUCAAAAAGUGUUUUUAGCAUCCUAGCAUGCAUCAGUUGAUAUGAAAGUAGUAAAUGUUAAUUGAGUGGUCUUGUGCAUCCUGGACUUCUCAUCUGUGCAUAUUCUCAUUCUUUGCCUGCAAAGGGCCAGUAAAAGCACAGUGAUGGUUGAACGAAUGUGACAGCCUCCUUUGCUGAUGCCUUACCCCAAGAAAUUAAAUCACCUAACUGAUAUCUUAUGGUCUGAUUGGAACAGGAUUUCAAUAGCAGCCCUGGGAAAGUAAGUUCCAGAAAGUAUACUUCUCUUCACUCAAGGAAAG